rnacentral:rRNA from 1 species
UACGAAGGGGGCUAGCGUUGCUCGGAAUCACUGGGCGUAAAGGGUGCGUAGGCGGGUAGGUAAGUCCGUGGUGAAAUCUCUGAGCUUAACUCAGAAACUGCCGUGGAUACUAUUUGCCUUGAAUAUUGUGGAGGUGAGCGGAAUAUGUCAUGUAGCGGUGAAAUGCGUAGAUAUCUGGAGGAACACCAAUGGCGAAGGCAGCUCGCUGGGACGGUACUGACGCUGAGACGCGAAAGCGUGGGAGCAAACAGG